rnacentral:tRNA from 1 species
CAAACAGUAGCUUAAUAUAAAGCAUUCAACUUACAAUUGGACAAUGUUAGUGUAAUCUAACCUUUUUGA